CUUUGAGCAAGAGGACAAACCUGGGUAGGGAUCUCUAUGAUGUUUUCUGCGUUGCCCGUGGACGUUCAUCUUUCUGAUUUGUUAGCUGAAGAUGAGGAUCUGGAGCAGGAGCUCGGAGUGCCAUUGUUCCAUGGGCAGAUGUGCAGCAGAGAUUAGCAUUAGGAAGACAAGCAGGGCCUUCAGUAGGCAUAAGGUGAUGAGGUUCAUGCCGUUGGAUCCCACGGGUGCCCUGGGGAAGAGAUGGUUGGGAAGUCUGAGAGGAAGCAGGAGAGCUUUCGGAGCACAUGGAUGCCGUCCAGAAUGGAGAUGGUUGUGGCUCGGAAGAAAAAGAAAUCACCCAGCUCGGAGUCAGGAUACAUUUGGAGGUCCAGGCCGCCGAGUUUGCUGGUGGGGAAGAUAGGCACCAGAAAGGAAAGAGGACAUCCAGGGCAAUUUCUUCUGCCCCCCAGCCAAUCCGUACAUUGUCCAGAGGGUCUUGCUCUGUCAUCCAGGCUGGCGCGAUCUCGGCUCACUUUGACCUCUGCCUCCUGGGUUCAAGCGAUUCUCCUGUCACAGCCUCCUGAGCAGCUGGGAUUACAGGCAGGCACCACCAUGCUGAGCUAAUUUUUGUAUUUUUAGUAGAGACCAGGUUUCGCCAUGUUGCCCAGGCUACUCUCGAACUCCUGGCCUCAUGUGAUCCGCCCACCUCAGCCUCCCAAAGUGCUGGGAUUACAGGCGUGAGCCACUGCAACCAGCUGGAACAAUCUUGAUAUUAGGGUGAACAAGUGAUUUCAUAGCUUUCUCUGAAGGAGGAAACACUGGGAGCAUCCACCCGAGAAUCAACACUGUGGAUCAUUCUGGGGAGUUAAUAGUUUUGAGAUGUGUCCCAAGAUAAUUGUUAGCUUGAAUUACCACGUGGAUGGAACCAUGCUGAUCCUAAGAGCCAGGUAAUGGCCAAAGGUGCCAUUCAGGUGAAAUCCCCAGGUGGAAAAUUCUUCCACUUCCAAUGAUAGAAUUCUAUUACUCUGCCUAUAGUUUGGUGAAACAAGACUUUACAAAUAGAGGACAAGAUCCAUUUUGCCAAGAACAACCAUAUGGAUUUAACUGCUGCUAACAACCGUUAGGAAGGAACAUCAAUAAAAAGCAAGCCUGUGAGACAACUCCUUCCCCAAGGGGCGCUUGUUACAGAGCGCGGGCCCCAGCAGGCCUGGUCCAUCCUCCACAUUCUUUCCUCUCUGACUUAUUUUUACUUUCUGUUUGAAUUGGCUUGGUUUUAUUUUGCCCUAAACUGUGUCUGUAGUCAUCCCCCGACAGAGUUUUGAGAGUGAAAGUCCGAUCUGCCCACGCUUCACAGAACUCAAUGCGGAGCCUUCUCAGGAGUCACUUGACGUCAAGGCUGACUUUUAAAUUUGCCAAAAAGGCAUUCUUUGGGGAGCGGUCGGCACCAUCACUUUCCCUCUUUAGAGAGCUGCUACUGGCUGCUGGAAUUCAAAACCCACAAAUUGCAUUUCUAAACUUAAUUCGAUACAUAGAUGAGCGGAAAGAUCAGACAUUGAUGCUAUUGUUUUCAACCAAGAUGUUUUACUAUAUCAUUUAUAUUUUGUUUUUUUCUUCCCCCAGUUUUUAAACUUUUUGUUUGUUUGUUUUACAGGCCAAGCCUACUGCUGUUAGAAAACAUAUUUAGAAAUCACUUGGUUCUUCCUUGCCUGAACAUCAUCUAUUUAGUUAGCUUGUGUUGUUUAGAUGUGCUUCAGAUCUCAAAAAAAUAAAUUAUGUUAUUUGAAAGCUUGCUCUCUGCUUGUUUACACUAUUAAUUUAGAGUCCAGAGGAAUCUCUAAAUUUGCCUCUAGAAACCACAUAAUCACCUAAUAAUACCUUUCCUGACUCCACUUUCUGACACAAAGUGACUUUUGAAACGCUUCCAUCUUCCCUUUCUAUUUAAUGUACUGCACUCCACUCUUUUUUCCUUUCGUUUUUUCUACAGUCCGUCAUGGAGUAUUUGUUUACCAAAUGUUACUUUUCUUGGAUCCAAUCUAUUUUUGAAGAGCGCAAAAGCAAACAACUGUUUGAAGCUGUCAAGCUUCAUUUUAUUUAUGCAUGAAUAACACAAAUAACUUGAAAAUGACCUAGUCUGUUUUUCUCAGAUUUAGAUAGAAAAACUGCUUCCGGCCAAUGUUUAUGCCAAUUUGUUCAUGCCAAGUUUCCAGUUUCGGUGCCAACCGGUUUUUACAGCCAAGUUGUAAACCUUCGGUAAACAUGGCUUAUAAUGAAAAGUGCAACACAGCCUGAACCCUGGCACCAGGGGACGGAUGUAAAUUUAUUCUAAGAACAAAAUUCUAACAGGAACAGGAGGGGAGCUAGGCUGGCUACAAAGUGUUCCCACCGUAAUAUGGAAAAUGUACAGAUGAUGAUAUAUUUGAUUACUAAGAUCCCAUUAGGCCAAUUUAGGCACUUUAUGUAUUUCCUUUGCUCUGGACGCUGAGUGGUUUCAUGCUCAAUUUGAAGCAACUGGCUCAUUGUCUCAGGGUGGUUCUAGAACUUUGCCUUCAGGUGGGGCUGGGGAGGGAGCC
rnacentral:lncRNA from 1 species